UCUUUUCUUUUGAUAGGAGAGUUUUUAAAACCAGUGUUAUUUUUGUAAGUUUAAGAGAAGUUUGUGUAUUGAAUUUUUAAUAUUAAAGAGCUUUGUUAAACUUAGACUUAAGUUUAGGUCAUUUUGGGGGUUUAGCUCAGUUGGCUAGAGCAUCGGCUUUGCAAGCCGAGGGUCAAGGGUUCGAGUCCCUUAACCUCCAUUGGGCUUAUGUCCUAAAUUGUAAUUAAGUAUGUUUUUAAGCAACUUUAUUAAAGUAAUUGUUGGAAUGUGAAACAGAGGAAGUUAAAAUUUCUGGGUUAAGUUGAGAUCUGUUGAUAUUAAGAAGAAUCUCUAGAAGCGAAAGCAAGCUUUCGAUAAAACCCGAAGUUGUUUCGCUAAAGUGCAAGGAUUAAACAGGAUUGUAUUUUCCAGUAGCCUAUUUUAUAAACGAUCUGCAUUUAGUAAAUAGUUUUUAGUUAGGAAAUAAUGUAUAUUGCUAAGUGUGAUGUC
rnacentral:misc_RNA from 1 species